UCAACCAAAUAUCAAUUUGAUUAGCCAGGUGUUCACGUACUCAAGUGAAAGGGUGUUUUAAAAUAUCUUAGUCCAUUUUAUUUUACGCCAGGCGCAAUGGGCAAUGAAUGGUUAGUUUCAAGUGACGUUCAAUUAUACGUAUGGCCAUGGGCUCCACUCCAGGCCUGGGGAGAGCAAGUUUCCCAACUCACCAGUUUGUUCAAUCUCCAUGAGUGGUGGGAGCCCUGGUAGCGAGGGCUCGGCGUCGACACUUCGGUCAUUUUCAGACAAAAUUGAACGCUGCAUUGUUGUUCCAAUGAAGCCACGAGUUCAGUCGAGCCGACAGGAGGAACAACUAGAACGUGCCGAAGGUCUGUGCGAUAUCGAGGCUAUGGUGGCGGACGCUGGAAAAUGUGACUGCGGGCCCUGUUUCUGCUGCUACGCUGGGAUCGAGAAAGUACUACAGAACUAAAAUAUCCUAUCUAUCCAUGGCAUUGGCAUAUUGUAUUUGGGCCCUGUAGCUGUAAUUUU